rnacentral:rRNA from 1 species
GUUAGUUGCCAUCAUUAAGUUGGGCACUCUAGCGAGACUGCCGGUAAUAAACCGGAGGAAGGUGGGGAUGACGUCAAAUCAUCAUGCCCCUUAUGACCUGGGCUACACACGUGCUACAAUGGUCGGUACAACGAGUUGCGAGCCGGUGACGGCAAGCUAAUCUCUGAAAGCCGAUCUCAGUUCGGAUUGGAGGCUGCAACUCGCCUCCAUGAAGUCGGAAUCGCUAGUAAUCGCGNAUCAGCACGCCGCGGUGAAUACGUUCCCGGGCCUUGUACACACCGCCCGUCACACCACGAGAGUUUGUAACACCCGAAGUCGGUGAGGUAACCUUUUAGGGGCCNGCCGCCUAAGGUGGGAUGGAUGAUUGGGGUGAAGUCGUAACAAGGUAGCCG